GUGCAAUAACCUUGAAUAACACCAUGCGAUCCAUUUGAGGUUUCACUAGGGAUUCUAUGCUCCUAUGAUGCCAUAACAAAAGCCAUGACAUCACAAGCAAAAGCUGAAUUGCUUGAUAAGUUCCUUAGGUAGAGGUCUGCAGCUGUGGUUGCCCAGUAUUUCAAGAAAGUUGAAUUCAGAGUGAGGACCAUCAUAAAAAAGAAAAGGAAAUUCAUGAAGCCAUCACUGCAGCUACACCAGCAAAAUGUGCAGCAAAAACUUUGUACGUUUUUUGAAAUAACUUUUUAUCUCAUAUUGAAAAUGUAGCUUUUACAUGGGUAUAGGAUUACUAAAAGAACAGCAUGCCUAUAUACUGCAAUAUGAUUUGAAAAAAAAAACAAAGUCAUUAUAUGACAACUUAAAGCAAAAAGAAGGAAGUUUUGAAAGCUGGAGAAUUUAAUGCCAGCAAAGGAUGGUUUGAUCAUUUUAGAAUGAAGUUCCAUUUUAAAAAUGCCAAAGUAAAAGGAGAAGUAGCUUCUACUGACCAAGAGACAAUAGAUGAAUUUCCAGAUGCCUUUAUCAUUAAAGAGAAAGAAUAUCUGCAUGAAUAGGAUUUUAAUGCAGAUGGAAGUGCUCUAUUCUGAGAAAAAAAUGCCAAAAGUAGGCGUUAGUAAGGAGAAGUGAGCACUCAGAUUUCAGGCAGGAAGGCAUAGGAUAACUCUACUGUUUUAUGCAAAUGCAGUGGGUUUAUGAUCAGUACUGCCUUUGUCUAUAAAGCUACUAACCCCCAAGCCUUGGAAGGAAGGAAUAAACACCAGAUGCCAGUCAUUUGGUUAUGUAACAAGAAGUCCUGGAUAACAAGAACACUAGCCCUGGAUUGGUUUCAUCAAUGCUUUGUCCCUGAAGUCAGGUAAUUCCUGCCAGCAAGGGACUGCUUUUUCAAGUUCUUUUGAUAUGGGACAAUAUCCCUCGCUACCCAGAACACCACAAAUUUAAUACCACAGGUGUCCAAGGAGUCUAUUUGCUUCCAAACACAACAUCUCUAAUUCAGCUUCUAGAUUAGGGGUCAUAAGAAGCUUUAAGGCUCAUUAAACACAGUACUCUAUGGGAAAGAUUGCCAACACUAUGGAAGAAAACCAUGAGAGAGAGAAUAUCAUGAGAGUCUGGAAGGAUCAUACUAUUGAAGAUCUCUCAUUGUUAUAGAAAAAGCCACAAAGCCUGAAACAAUAAAUUCCUGCUGUGUCCAGAUGUUGUGCAUAAUUUCACAGGAUUUACAACAGAGCCAGUCAAGAAAAUCACAAAAGAGAUUGUGCAUAUGGCAAAAGGUGGACAAGUGAAGAAUUUCAAGAUAUGGAUCUUGGAGAAAUUCAAGAGCUGAUAGACAAAGAAUUAACAGAAGACAACCUGAUGGAGAUGAGUGCUUCCAAACCAGUGACAGAUGAUGAGUAAGAAGACAGAAGAAGCAGUGCCAGAAAACAAGUUGAUAUUAGACAAUAUGGCAGAAAGGUUCUGAUUUCAAGACUGGUUUUGACUUUUUUUUUUUAAUACAUGGAGCAUUCUAUAAUACAGGCACUGAAACUAAAACAAAUGGUAGAAGGAGGAUUGGCACCAUAUAGAAAUAUUUUUAGAGAAAUGAAAAAGCAGAAAUCAGACUGAAUUAUGAGAGGCACCUCUAUGAAGUUACAUCUGGUGUGCCUGCCUCUCCUGCCUCCCCUUCCACCUCUUCCAUCUUUUCCAUCUUUGUCACCCCUGAGACCUUCUGCUUCUGAGUAUGAUGUGAAGACAACCAAGAGGAAGACCCUUAUGAUGAUCCACUUCCACUUAAUGAAUAGGGGAGACUUUCUUGGAAACAGAUAAAGGAAAGAGUCCAGUAAUUUGUAGCAAUGUGACUACAGCCACACAUGCUCCAGAAUUAAUGUUCUUCAUUAGGGUUGAUUAGAUGAGCUUUCAUACAUUGGAAACCUGACUACUUUCCAACAACUUGAUUUCACAAAUGGAAAAACAGCAUCUGUUUUCCUGCAGCUUCACAUAUGGCGAUCAUUGUUGCUAAGACAAGCUGAAGCAGGAUCAAUGUUUGUGUUUUGAAGGUCAAAAGAUUGGCAGCUAUAGAAAUUAAAUUCCAGAAUACAUCCACCAGCCAGGUAUAUUGCAAACAGAUGUUCUUUCACUGAAAUUGCCAUGCCAGUGGUCUUAACCCUCUUUGGAAGGAAAACUCAAUCAAUUCCAGCAAGAAAAGCCUUCAGUGAUUUUGGAGUAGUCUUGGACUUCUCCUGAAUAUAACUAUCAUUUAACAAAUAUUUCUUUAUCAAGAACUGCUUCUUUAGCAUCUGUUUAUCACAGGAUCAUAACAGAUUGGAACUGGAAAACCUGAAAGUACUCAAUCUUUCAGUAGUAAAAUAAAAGCCAGGAUUCCUAACUUGCCAGAAACCUACUGAAAUGACUGUGAGACCCUACGGUGAAAAGUGAUCUUUCUGCAGUGAGAAUGAGCCAGGGCUGGGCAGUCAGCACACUUGAGUAUUGUACCUGCCUCCACCACUGGCAAAUACCACCAGAGAUGCUGUGAAAUGCAGAUUCCAAGGCCCCACAUUAUAUCUACAGCAUCAGAAUCUCUGGGGUGGGAGCCCAGGAGAUUCUUACACACAGUGGAGUCUUAUGCACAUUCAGCCACCCAGGUGUUAUGCACCAGCUCCGCCACUUACCACUUUCUAGCUUGUAAUUUUGGGCCUGUUACUCAAUCUCUUCAAAACCUUGGUUUCUUCACCUACAAAAUGGAGCUAAAAGCACAUUGUGGAAAUUAAUAAGACGAUGCAUGGAAAAUGCUCAGCCGGUCUGCACAAAAGAAAUGUUUGGCACACCCUGCUACACACACAACCCAUGGAAUAUCAGGUAUUGAGCAAUGGGUAUUCCUGGUGGCAGUGGGCCAGAUGUAGCUCAUCAUCGGUUGGAAUCAAUUCCAGAAGAGGUGUUAGAGUCUGUUGGUCCAAGAGAAAGUCUGAUCCAGACACCAAAAAGAGCCAUGAGGAAAAUGGAUACUAUCUCCACUGAUCUCCCAACAAUUUAGGUAGUACAAUAUUCAGUUCAGAUUAAGCAAUGGGAUAACCUACAAGCGAUGCUAUUUUAGUGAGUUUAUAAGGUUAUAUUAAAUUCAUAGUCAUUGUCAAAUUAUCUCCCAGGUUCUAUUUCUGUGAAUAGACUGUCAUAUCCAAAUGGAUGGGGAAAGUGAAUAAUUAUUAAUAUUAAUAAUACAUACACUUGGAUUUUCUUCUUUGUUUUACACUUGAGUUUUCAAUAAAUCAGAAAAGCUAGAAACCAAUCACAUGCUA